rnacentral:pre_miRNA from 1 species
AUCUUUUUUUUAUAAGGACAGAUCAGAUUCAUUGAAUCUAAUAAAAUCUAGUCAGUAAAUAAUAACCAGAUUCAAUGAAUCUAUCUGUCAAUAUCAAAAUUAGGU